rnacentral:sRNA from 2 species
CUUUUGCAUUUCAAUUUACACAGAUGAUCAAUGAUCUAGUAACGAUUUCUUGAAGCUCAGAAAAUUAGAAGUUUAUACAGUCCAUUAUAUACUGGUACUGAGUAUAUAUCUCAAUUCUACUUUCCUAUUAUAAACAAUAUCCUUACAUGUUGGAACGCUCUUAUUUUCAACGCUGCCUUCCUUUUUCCUUCCAUUUGGUGCAUGUUUUAUACAUCCCCCUCCUACUUUAUUGACACAAUGACCUGCGCUCAGAGGAUCCCAUCCUCAUAUUUCCAGCUUCUAUAAUUUUGGCUCAAAAGCUACCAUCAUUUUAUACUGAUCCCAC